GAUGAACGCUGGCGGCGUGCCUAAUACAUGCAAGUCGAGCGAACGGACGAGAAGCUUGCUUCUCUGAUGUUAGCGGCGGACGGGUGAGUAACACGUGGAUAACCUACCUAUAAGACUUGGAGAACUUCGGGAAACCGGAGCUAAUACCGGAUAAUAUUUUGAACCGCAUGGUUCAAAAGUGAAAGACGGUCUGGCUGUCACUUAUAGAUGGAUCCGCGCUGCAUUAGCUAGUUGGUAAGGUAACGGCUUACCAAGGCAACGAUGCAUAGCCGACCUGAGAGGGUGAUCGGCCACACUGGAACUGAGACACGGUCCAGACUCCUACGGGAGGCAGCAGUAGGGAAUCUUCCGCAAUGGGCGAAAGCCUGACCGAGCAACGCCGCGUGAGUGAUGAAGGUCUUCGGAUCGUAAAACUCUGUUAUUAGGGAAGAACAUAUGUGUAAGUAACUGUGCACAUCUUGACGGUACCUAAUCAGAAAGCCACGGCUAACUACGUG
rnacentral:rRNA from 1 species